rnacentral:rRNA from 1 species
UACGGAGGGUGCAAGCGUUAUCCGGAUUUACUGGGUUUAAAGGGUGUGUAGGCGGGCCUUUAAGUCAGUGGUGAAAUCUUAGGGCUCAACCCUGAAACUGCCAUUGAUACUAUUGGUCUUGAAUCUUGUUGAGGUGGGCGGAAUACAUCAUGUAGCGGUGAAAUGCUUAGAGAUGAUGUAGAACACCGAUUGCGAAGGCAGCUCACUAAACAAGUAUUGACGCUGAGGCACGAAAGCGUGGGGAUCAAACAGG